UAUCGGUGUCCUUAGCCCCAUAUCUUAGAUUAUUUGGGCUCAAAUUUAAAUCAAAAAAGGCCUAAAUACUGAAGAAACGGAGCAGAUUGUCCUUAAUUAAGAAGUUUUUGGUUGCGUCCUUAACGCCACGCGUCAUCUUCUCAAAGCCUCUGAACCACUUCCCCUUCCUCCUCCUUCUCUUGCCACUUCCCCUCCUCCUCCUUCUCUGGCCCUUCAAUCACCAACCUCUGAACCACCACCACCGCCUUGCUCCGCCUUUCUCAGCCUCAGGUCUCUUUCACUUCCAAAUACGUCUCUGUUCUCUAUGAUAUCGAGGAGAAGAACACUUUUGUUAAGAGCAGUGUUGAUGUUUCGCCGCGUAUUCAGCUGAGAGCUCUUCAUAAUGUCAAGGCGCAACAAGGAGAGGUUGCUAUGGAGGCAAAUCUAGCUGAACCUGGCUAUUCCCUCCAGCUUUCAUCACCUGUUCCUAUUGGCUACGUGGGUACCACCUCUUCUAUUUGGUGUGUGUGGAUGUUUUUGCAUUUGCAGGAGUGUGGUUGCUAGUACUUUGCAGCUUGUUAUGUUUAAGUGCUUAUUGUAAUGCCUUGCGGGUUUUUCAUCCUAUUUGUUUAACCAUAUUUGUUCUUUUGUAGUGUUUAUGUUUAACCAUAUUUGUUCUUGUUUAA